UACGUAGGUGGCAAGCGUUGUCCGGAUUUACUGGGCGUAAAGAGCGCGCAGGCGGUCGUUCAAGUCGAGUGUGAAAGCCCCCGGCUCAACUGGGGAGGGUCACUCGAUACUGAUCGACUCGAAGGCAGAAGAGGGAAGCGGAAUUCCCGGUGUAGUGGUGAAAUGCGUAGAUAUCGGGAGGAACACCAGUGGCGAAGGCGGCUUCCUGGCCUGUUCUUGACGCUGAGGCGCGAAAGCUAGGGUAGCAAACGGG
rnacentral:rRNA from 1 species